AUGAGACGUUGCCCUUCGGGGUAUACCUCCCACCCUUUGUUUAUUAUACCUUUGUUGCUUUGGCGGGCCCGUCCUCGGACCACCGGCUUCUGCUGGUCAGUGCCCGCCAGAGGACCUAAAACUCUGUUUGUUAAUAUUGUCUGAGUACUAUAUAAUAGUUA
rnacentral:misc_RNA from 1 species